rnacentral:rRNA from 1 species
GUAGGUGGCAAGCGUUGUCCGGAAUUAUUGGGCGUAAAGCGCGCGCAGGCGGUUCUUUAAGUCUGAUGUGAAAGCCCACGGCUCAACCGUGGAGGGUCAUUGGAAACUGGAGAACUUGAGUACAGAAGAGGAAAGCGGAAUUCCACGUGUAGCGGUGAAAUGCGUAGAGAUGUGGAGGAACACCAGUGGCGAAGGCGGCUUUUCUGGUCUGUAACUGACGCUGAGGCGCGAAAGCGUGGGGAGCAAACAGGGAUUAGAUACCCUGGUAGUCCACGCCGUAAGCGAUGAGUGCUAAGUGGUUAGGGGGUUUCCGCCCCCCUUAGUGCUGCAGCUAACGCAUUAAGCACUCCGCCUGGGAGUACGGCCGCAAGGCUG